AUUGAACGCUGGCGGCAUGCCUUACACAUGCCAGUCGAACGGUAACGGGCCUUCGGGGGCCGACUAGUGGCGAACGGGUGAGUAAUACAACGGAACGUGCCCGAUCGUGGGGGAUAACGAGGCGAAAGCUUUGCUAAUACCGCAUACGAUCUACGGAUGAAAGCAGGGGACCGCAAGGCCUUGCGCGGGCGUAGCGGCCGAUGGCAGAUUAGGUAGUUGGUGGGAUAACAGCUUACCAAGCCGACGAUCUGUAGCUGGUCUGAGAGGAUGAUCAGCCACACUGGGACUGAGACACGGCCCAGACUCCUACGGGAGGCAGCAGUGGGGAAUUUUGGACAAUGGGCGCAAGCCUGAUCCAGCAAUGCCGCGUGAAGGAUGAAGGCCUUCGGAUUGUAAAAUGCUUUUGUACGGAAAGAAAAGCCUUCUUUUAAUACAGGAGGGUCAUGACGGUACCGUAAGAAUAAGCACCGGCUAACUACGUG
rnacentral:rRNA from 1 species